rnacentral:lncRNA from 1 species
CCUGUCUCUACAAAAAUUAGCUGGGUGUGGUGGCAGGCGCCUGUAAUCCCAGCUACUCCGGAGGCUGAGGCAGGAGAAUCGCUGAAUCCAGGAGGCAGAGGUUGCAGUGAGCCAAGAUAGCACCACUGCACCUACAGCCUGAGCGACAGAGAAGACUCUGUCUCGAAAAAAAAUAAGUGAAUAAAUAAAAACUUUCUAUUUCAUAGAUGUUCUGUUGUUUUUCCGCGUUCUAGUUCACUGACUUCCUUUUUUCUUUCUUUUUUUUUUUUUUGAGACAGUCUCACUCUGUCGCCCAGGCUGGAGUGCAAUGGUGUAUUCUCGGCUCACGGUAACCUCUGCCUCCCAGGCUCAAGCAAUUCUCGCGCCUUAGUCUUCCGAAUAGCUUGGAUUUUGUGUGUGUGUGUGGGGGGGGGGGGCGGGGGGGACACGGUCUCACUCUGUUGCCAAGAUUGGAGUGUAGUGGUGCAAUCCUAGCUCACUGCAGUCUCCACCUCCCAUGCUCAAGGGAUCCACUUUCUAAGCCUGUCAAGUACCUGGGACUAGAGGUGUGCAUCAACACACCUAUUUUUUUUUUUUUUUU